CUGGCCUUGACAUGUACCGAAUUUGGGAGAGAUUCCUUAGUGCUCGAAAGAGAGCGGUAACACAGGUGCUGCAUGGCUGUCGUCAGCUCGUGUCGUGAGAUGUUGGGUUAAGUCCCGCAACGAGCGCAACCCUUGCCAAUAAUUGCCAUCAUUUAGUUGGGCACUUUAUUGGGACUGCCGGUGACAAACCGGAGGAAGGUGGGGAUGACGUCAAGUCCUCAUGGCCCUUAUGGCCAGGGCUUCACACGUAAUACAAUGGUCGGUACAGAGGGUUGCCAACCCGCGAGGGGGAGCUAAUCUCAGAAAGCCGAUCGUAGUCCGGAUUGAAGUCUGCAACUCGACUUCAUGAAGUCGGAAUCGCUAGUAAUCGCGGAUCAGCAUGUCGCGGUGAAUACGUUCCCGGGCCUUGUACACACCGCCCGUCACACCAUGGGAGUGGGUUCCACCAGAAGUAGUUAGUCUAACCGCAAGGAGGACGAUUACCACGGUGGGGUUCAUGACUGGGGUG
rnacentral:rRNA from 1 species